rnacentral:tRNA from 1 species
GCCGAUUUAGUUUAGUGGUAAAACAGAAGCAUGGUAAGCUUCAGAGAACAGUUCAAUUCUGUUAAUCGGCACCA